UGGGAGCUUCGGCGCAAGUGA
rnacentral:siRNA from 1 species